AUUUAUAUAGUUUAAAAAAAACCUUAUAUUUUCAAUAUAAAAAUAAAUAAAUAAAUUUUAUAAAUU
rnacentral:tRNA from 1 species